GGGGAAUAUUGCACAAUGGGCGCAAGCCUGAUGCAGCGACGCCGCGUGGAGGAUGAAGGCUUUCGAGUUGUAAACUCCUGUUAAGUGGGAAGAAAGACCGUUGGUGAAUAAUCAGCGGGGAUGACGGUACCACUAGAGAAAGCACCGGCAAACUUCGUGCCAGCAGCCGCGGUAAUACGAAGGGUGCAAGCGUUAUUCGGAGUUACUGGGCGUAAAGAGUAUGUAGGCGGUUAGUUAAGUUAGUUGUUAAAUACCAUGGCUCAACUGUGGAAAGGCAGCUGAUACUGAUUAGCUAGAGCGCAGAAGAGAGGAGUGGAAUUCCCGGAGUAGCGGUAAAAUGCGUAGAUCUCGGGAGGAACACCGGUUGCGAAGGCGGCUUCUUGGUCUGUGGCUGACGCUAAAGUACGAAAGCGUGGGGAGCAAAC
rnacentral:rRNA from 1 species